ACCGCCAUUGACUUUUCCUUUUCUUUUUCUUUCUUGUUCUGUUGGGGGCUGUGGGAAAAAUGGGGAAAAACAGAGGGUGAGAGAGAACCAGAGAUGGAGGAGGAGGAGAGCCGCCAUUGACGAUUUCUUGAACUUCAUCGAGCUCAUCGGAGGAGCCGAGGAGACUGAGACCAUACCCCUAGAAGGCUCGACUCAUCGAUUUAUCUUUUUGAGGGGUCCUCCAUGGGACCGCUGAUCCGGCAAGAUACAAAAAGGGACUUCUAGAUCGCUAAUCCGGCGGGAUACAAAAAGGAACGCCUAGACCGCUGAUCCAGCGGUAUAUAAAAUGGACGCCUAGACCGCUGAUUCGGCGGGAUACAAAAAUGAACGUCUAGACCGCUGAUCUGGCGGGAUACAAAAAUGGACGUCUAGACCGCUGAUCCGAUGGGAUACAAAAAGGGAUGCCUAGACCGCUGAUCCAACGGGAUAUAAAAUGGACGCCUAGACCGCUGAUCCAGCAGGAUACAAAAAGGGAUGUCUAAACUGCUGAACCGGCGGGAUAUAAAAUGGACGCAUAGACUCCUACUAUUGGAGGAUAAUGGGCAACCCCCGCUUAUGAGAAAUGAAAUGAGGAAUUUACGAAUAUGAGUGCGGGGACACGGUACCGUCACAACUCUGUUGCGAGGAAAUGCAACCCUAUGGCUAUAUUGAUUGGUUGAAUUGUAUAUUGUUGUCUUGUAUGAUUGCUGAAGCUGUGAUGAUUAUUGAGAAUGUCUGAAGAUGUUCUGUCAAAGCCGUGCUACUGUUUGAGUUGAUAUGUCAGAUGAUUGUGUUGUGAGUUUCUCUGGAAUGUUAAUAAAUGGAUAUUUGAUGUUUAUGUGAUAUUGGAUAUUAAAGGAAUGAUUGGAAGAGUUGGUGUAUUUAUUAGUAGAACUUAAAUUUAGUUAUUAUAUUAGAUAUAAUUAUUAUUA